GAUGAACGCUAGCGGCAGGCCUAAUACAUGCAAGUCGAGGGGCAGCGGGAGUAGCAAUACUUGCCGGCGACCGGCGCACGGGUGCGUAACACGUAUGUAAUCUACCCUUUACUGGAGAAUAGCCCGAAGAAAUUCGGAUUAAUACUCCAUAAUAAUAUUGGAGGGCAUCUUUUGAUAUUUAAAGUUCCGACGGUAAAGGAUGAGCAUGCGCGAUAUUAGCUAGUUGGUGAGGUAACGGCUCACCAAGGCGACGAUAUCUAGGGGUACUGAGAGGUUACACCCCCACACUGGUACGGAGACACGGACCAGACUCCUACGGGAGGCAGCAGUAAGGAAUAUUGGACAAUGGGCGAAAGCCUGAUCCAGCCAUGCCGCGUGUGUGAAGAAGGUCUUCGGAUUGUAAAGCACUUUAAGUCGGGAGGAAGGGCUGUAGGCUAAUACCUUGCAGUUUUGACGUUACCGACAGAAUAAGCACCGGCUAACUUCGUGCCAGCCGCCGCCGUAACAC
rnacentral:rRNA from 1 species